rnacentral:lncRNA from 1 species
AUGGCCGCUCCGUGCCCCUGCCUGCGCCCCAGCGCUGUCCCCAAGGAGCCGGGCGCUGCCGGCUUUGGGGCUGCAGCCGGGAUUUCUGGGGUCGGGCAGCCCCCGUCCCUCCCUCCCCCGGCUGCCGGCCGCAAAGGGCAGCAGUGGGAGGCCGGGCUGGAGGUGAGCUCAGCUGCCCGGGGACGGGCCCGAGGGCAGGGCGGGCACGGCCUCACCCACUCCGGGCGAGGAGGAGGAGGAGAAGGAGCAGGAUGUGAGGAUGAAGCUCCCCAGCGGCUUGACCUGCCCGUGCCCUGUGCCCGCUUUGUCCCGGGGCGGGGGCUCCCUCCUGGCACCGCUGGCUGGCGCAGGGAGAGCGGCUCGGGAAGCCGGAGCUGCAUCUGCCGGGCCGCGUCUCCUUCCUCCUCCUCCUCCUCUCCUGUCUCAGGUGUUGUCCCAGCGGGAGCCGUGGCAGCCGGAAAGCUCCGCAGAGCCAAGCGCAGCGCGGGGCUUUGGGGAGGGGACAAGGCAGCGAGGGGCAGCCCCGCCGCCUCGGCACGCUGGAGACCCCCGGGGACGGGCCGGCGGCUUUUCCCAACUGCUCCAGCGCUGCUGGCGGGAUCUGCUGCCUCGGGGGGGAAACCAGAUACCCUGCCCUGCGGCUGGGGGGGCGAGGGGCCGGCCCCACGCCGAGCGGACCCCCCCAGACACGCUGCCGGGGAGCUGGGCCGGGGCUCCCUCCAGCCGUGGAUCCUUUGGGCAGCUCCGUCCGGCACCUCCGCGGCACCUCCGCAGCCCCUCCGGAUCCUCAGGGCUGCGGAGCGUCCCCCAUUCACCCGGGGGAGGGGAUCCAGAGCCCCCCCCGUCACCCCUGACAUGUCUGUUGGGCCCGUCCUCAUGGAUUCAACACCAAAUCCGCACUUCCCGAGCAAUAAAUCAGCCAGCAGCGCGUCCGUGUGUGGUUUGUCCCUACGGGGGGUCCCCGAACUGCUGCUAAUGACUUCAGCACCCAGUGUCCCGGUGGGUUUGGGGAAACGGGGUCCUGCUGUGCACCCCGCGUCCCGGAGGAAGCCGGGAGGAUGCGAUGGCAGCCGGGAGGGCUCGGACCUGGCCGGGGCCGGGGUCUGGAGUGGAAGCGAAUCCGCCUGUUACCUCCCGGCCCUUCCCGGCGCUCCCAGCGCCUUUGUUUUAAACAAAGCUUUUUUUGGGGGGAGCCAGGACGUUGCUCUCCCCUCCGAGAGAGCCCCCGCGGCAGCACCCACUCAUGGGUGA